CGUCCCGGGCACGCGGCUCCUCAGGCCCCGCAACUCAGAGGCCCGCGCGGUGCUGCCGGCGGCGGUGGGGGGAGGCCGCGUCCAUCGCGAUCCCGGACGGGGAAGGGAGGAGGGUUGGGAGAGAGCUGGGCGGAGAGGCCGAGGAGGGCAGGCGAGCUCGGCAGGGGCGGAGCAAAUGGGCUCUAGGGGCAGCCACCCGGCUGUCCGCCACGUGGGGCGCUGCGGAGACUCGUCGGCCAGCCGUGCUGGGGCGCCUACCGGCCGGAGGCGUUCCUGCGCGGCCAGGGCGCUCAGGCCUCCCGGGGCUCAAACACCCUUGGCCCCGUCGGCUGUCGCUUUUCUGUAAUACGCCCUCACGCCUUACGCUUUGCUGUCACUGCGAGCGCGCUGCCUACACCUCGCACGCUGGUGCACGCAAAGCCCAGCUGGUUAUACAGACAUUAGCGUGCUCCUGGUGAGGGCUCCAUGCUGCGCUUUAAAGCUGAGGCCCAACGUGUGUUUGUCGAGUAUCCCACCCCGGCGACCCACGAGCCUCCCCUCCUCCCCGCAGGUCGUUCCUUCUAGUGCAAGGAAGUGCGUCGCCGGAGGAAAGGUGUCUCUCUCCGGUCCCUGAAGACAAGCCACCCGUCAGAACAACCAGAAAGAAAAUCUUGGACCACAACCCUGGAAAGGAGAAGCUAGCAAAAUGAUGAUACUCUUAACAGAAAAUAGAAAGAGACUACUCUUCGCUAACUUUUUAAGAAAUAAAGCAGGAAGUGAUUACUAUCCCCAUCUGCUUCUGAUUCUUUCUUAUAGGUGUGCUACCUCCCCAUGUUACACAACAUUGAAAAGCCUGGAAAAUGUUCUCAGUGUCUUUGUAAAGUCAGUGGGAGAUGUUUACACACUGAAGCUGCUGGCACUGGCAUGGUGACUGGAGUCAAAUGUAAACCAUGACGUUUACAUUCUCAAUCAAAUAUAUUGUGCAAUGGGUAGCAAUGGGCACUGUGUGAAAGGUUGCCUAAUAAG